rnacentral:misc_RNA from 1 species
GAUUCAGUUAAGGAAAAUAGCAACUUAUUAGGUGUGAUUAAGCCGCAUAGCUUGUUGCCGCAACCGGAGGUACCUGCCGGAGUAGCGAUUAUUGUAUCUCCAGGUGAAAUGAACCGGUCUCAGUCGAUGCCGGAGAGUUUUGAUAUGCCGGCGAUAGGAAAAUUCUUUCGUGAGAAGAGUAAUAGUUUAUCGUCGGCGAUAACGAAGCGGUUGUCGUCGAUGAGGGAUCAGUUUGAUGAUGAGAAAGUGGUGAUUAAAUCGG